GAUCCUGGCUCAGGACGAACGCUGGCGGCGUGCCUAACACAUGCAAGUCGAACGGAACUGUUUUGAAAGAUUUCUUCGGAAUGAAUUUGAUUUAGUUUAGUGGCGGACGGGUGAGUAACGCGUGAGUAACCUGCCUUCAAGAGGGGGAUAACAUUCUGAAAAGAAUGCUAAUACCGCAUGAUAUAUCGGAACCACAUGGUUUUGAUAUCAAAGAUUUUAUCGCUUGAAGAUGGACUCGCGUCCGA
rnacentral:rRNA from 1 species